rnacentral:piRNA from 1 species
UCACAGAAGUCACCAGUUACUUGUGUCCU